rnacentral:lncRNA from 1 species
UAGACUCCUAGAAGUGCCCUGGAGCUCCUUUUAGAAAAUACCUGUAUCCUGCCUGAGGAUUUGAUGGAACCAUUCUGCAACUCCAUUUGGGCCUGGACUGGAGAAUACAGAAUAUCUGGGAGCCAGAAGAUGUGAUUCUCAGUGCAGUCAGCUCCAGACAGUGUGGGGCCUCAGUUUCUCAUCCAUGACGCUUCACUGAGUGUAAAGCUGGUGGUUCUCCACCAGACAGUGACAACUGGAUGGAUUAGCAGUGAGUGCUCACUGCAGAUGGGGAGGCCCAAAAGACUUUCAAAACAAGAGAAUCACAGAGGUCCGGAAAGGUGGGCUUCCGGUCGGGAUCCUUCAAGCAGGCUCCAGCACAGAAGACAUGAGUACCACCAGGCUCUGUGGACCUCAGUCAUCAGAAACCAAGACAUUCUUCCCUGGAAUUAAUCAGAACUUCCUGAACUCCCUGAUGACCACUGAAAAACCUUUCUGUUCUUGGGGCUGGGCCCCUCAAAGAAAGGACAAACAACACUCUCAUAACAGAACUGGAAUAAACUUGCACAACCUUCGUGAGAAAGACUGCAAAUUCCAGCCCGCUGUGUAGGAUACUUGGAGACGGCAUCUGCCUCGUGAGCAUCACCGGACUAAGCAGAACACACCGGCAGUUAGACUGACACUUAUUGUCAACCCACUUCUUCCUCCUCUCAAGGAUCAGUGUCUGCCAUCCCUGGUCACCUGGGCACAGAGGUCACAUCUCUCCUAGCCCAGUGAAAACUGCUCAUCUCAUUGCUGUGAGUGAGGAGUGACCAUGGAGGUCAUGGUAACCCGAUUGUCAUAAUUAUGAUUCUUCUUGUGGUCCGCACUCAGACGUGAGAAGUGGGAGGACCUGCAGGUUGGAGGCGUGGACUUGGGACAUUCUGGCUAUGCAAGGAAACUAAGCAGAAAACUCAGCCAAGCUGGUUAGGUCAGGGAUUCAUUUGUCCUGAAUUCUCCUCUGAGUCUCCAGGGUGCCUGGCUAUCUGGUGCUUGUUAGGCCCACCAAUCUCUUACUUAAAGAACCACGGCUUCUCAGUUGUACCCUAAGCAGCCAGUGUUUCCCAGCCGUGGACACAACUCACACAUCAGCCUACUGCCUGCCCUGCCUGCGUCCAAACUGAAAAUGACUUUCUUAUGUAACUUAAGUCUCCCUUUCUUAUAGCCAACCCAACAUCAGGAGCAGAGAAGAGGGAGUCCUCUAAAGCAAGAGGUCACCAAACCCGUCUGCGGGUCAGAUCAGCUCAUUCCCUGUGUGUGUCAGUAAAGCUUUGCUGGAACACAGCCAAACCAAUUCACUUCCAUGCUGCUUUCCAGAGCUGCGUUUGAACCACAGUGAUGGAGCUGAGUAUUCACAGCACAGACCGUACAAUCCACAUGGCCUAAAAUACCUACUGGCCGGCCCUGUAAAAGGGUAGAGAGUUUAUAAAGAAAGGCUUUGCUUAUCCCUGCGCUGAAGGAGAGAAGCUGGUCACAGCAGAAGGAGAGUGGGGGCCCAGCACUGUUUCUACCAACGGCUCAGCUUCAUGAGGCCGUGCGAGUAUUUCCAUCUCUGCUGCCACUCCAUUCACAACACAGGAUUAGUCAUGGGUGGCAACUGCAUGACACAUAAUUAGCUAAUACCCCAGACCAUGCGACAGGAAGAAGUGGCUGUUGUUUUUUUCUGAAGGAUGAGAAGUCCUGUCUCGGUAGAGCAGUAUUCUACCACUGGGACAGGAAGUGCUGCUUGUUAGCCAGCUGCCCUGUGCAUAUUGUUUUCAGUAUGUGCUUCCUGAGCCUCUGAAACAUGCAUGCACUUAGCCGGUCACAGAUCCGCAAGACAUGGGACACGGCCAGAAGACGGUGUGUGGCAGGCGAAAUAACAUAGUCACCUCAACCCUCCAUGCUCAAGGAGUGUUUCAGGUGUUUUAUUUGCUUGCUUGAUUGCUUGCUUGCUUUUAAAAAGGGAAAGAAGGCUGGGAUUAUAGCUCAGUGGUAAAGCACUUGCUUAAU